UUGCUACUCCCUCCGUUUCAUAAUUCUUGUCUCAAAUUUGUUGAAAAUUGGAUGUAUCUAUUCCUCAAAAAUGUCUAGAUACAUGUAAUAUUUCGACAAGAAUUAUGGAACGGAGGGGGUAUUAU
rfam:Brachypodium distachyon strain Bd21 chromosome 4, whole genome shotgun sequence.